rnacentral:rRNA from 1 species
ACAGUGGACGCGAGCAUCUGUGGCCAAGUUUUUAAGGGCGCACGGUGGAUGCCUUGGCACCAGGAACCGAUGAAGGACGUGGGAGGCCACGAUAGGCCCCGGGGAGUCGUCAACCAGGCUUUGAUCCGGGGGUGUCCGAAUGGGGAAACCCGGCAGUCGUCAUGGGCUGUCACCCGCUGCUGAACACAUAGGCAGUGUGGAGGGAACGCGGGGAAGUGAAACAUCUCAGUACCCGCAGGAAGAGAAAACAACCGUGAUUCCGGGAGUAGUGGCGAGCGAAACCGGAUGAGGCUAAACCGUUCACGUGUGAGACCCGGCAGGGGUUGCGUGUGCGGGGUUGUGGGAUCUCACUUCUGUUGUCUGCCGGCAACAGGGCGAGUCAGAAACCGUUGAUGUAGGCGAAGGACAUGCGAAAGGUCCGGCGUAGAGGGUAAGACCCCCGUAGUCGAAAUGUCAGCGGCUUGCUUGUGAGACACCCAAGUAGCACGGGGCCCGAGAAAUCCCGUGUGAAUCUGGCGGGACCACCCGCUAAGCCUAAAUAUUCCCUGGUGACCGAUAGCGGAUAGUACCGUGAGGGAAUGGUGAAAAGUACCGCGGGAGCGGAGUGAAAUAGUACCUGAAACCGUGUGCCUACAAGCCGUGGGAGCGUCGGACAUCAAGCUUGCUUGGUGUCUCGUGACUGCGUGCCUUUUGAAGAAUGAGCCUGCGAGUUUGCGGUGUGUUGCGAGGUUAACCCGGGUGGGGAAGCCGUAGCGAAAGCGAGUCCGAACAGGGCGAUUUUAGUAGCACGCUCAAGACCCGAAGCGGAGUGAUCUAGCCAUGGGCAGGUUGAAGCGGCUGUAAGAGGUCGUGGAGGACCGAACCCACCAGGGUUGAAAACCUGGGGGAUGACCUGUGGUUAGGGGUGAAAGGCCAAUCAAACUCCGUGAUAGCUGGUUCUCCCCGAAAUGCAUUUAGGUGCAGCGUCGUGUGUUUCUUGCCGGAGGUAGAGCACUGGAUAGGCGAUGGGCCCUACCGGGUUACUGACCUUAGCCAAACUCCGAAUGCCGGUAAGUGAGAGCGCGGCAGUGAGACUGUGGGGGAUAAGCUCCAUGGUCGAGAGGGAAACAGCCCAGAGCAUCGACUAAGGCCCCUAAGCGUACGCUAAGUGGGAAAGGAUGUGGAGUCGCACAGACAACCAGGAGGUUGGCUUAGAAGCAGCCACCCUUGAAAGAGUGCGUAAUAGCUCACUGGUCUAGUGAUUCCGCGCCGACAAUGUAGCGGGGCUCAAGCGUACCGCCGAAGUCGUGUCAUUGCGAUAUGUACCCCCAACGGGGAUCGUGAUGGGUAGGGGAGCGUCGUCUGCCGGGUGAAGCAGCACCGGAAGGUAGUUGUGGACGGUUGACGAGUGAGAAUGCAGGCAUGAGUAGCGAUACAAACGUGAGAAACGUUUGCGCCGAUUGACUAAGGGUUCCUGGGUCAAGCUGAUCUGCCCAGGGUAAGUCGGGACCUAAGGCGAGGCCGACAGGCGUAGUCGAUGGAUAACCGGUUGAUAUUCCGGUACCCGCUGUGAAGCGUCAAACAUCGAACCAGGCGAUGCUAAGUCCGUGAAACCGCCCGCUGCCGGCUUUGCCGUCAGUGGGAGUGGUGGAGCCGACGAACCAGACCUGUAGUAGGUGAGUGAUGGGGUGACGCAGGAAGGUAGUCCAUCCCGGGCGGUGGUUGUCCCGGGGUAAGGGUGUAGGCCGCAAGGUAGGUAAAUCCGCCUUGCAUACGGCUGAGACCUGAUGCCGAGCCGAUUGUGGUGAAGUGGAUGAUCCUAUGCUGUCGAGAAAAGCCUCUAGCGAGUUUCAUGGCGGCCCGUACCCUAAACCGACUCAGGUGGUCAGGUAGAGAAUACCGAGGCGUUCGGGUGAACUAUGGUUAAGGAACUCGGCAAAAUGCCCCCGUAACUUCGGGAGAAGGGGGGCCACACCUGGUGACGAGUCUUGCACUCUGAGCUGGGGGUGGCCGCAGAGACCAGCGAGAAGCGACUGUUUACUAAAAACACAGGUCCGUGCGAAGCCGUAAGGCGAUGUAUACGGACUGACGCCUGCCCGGUGCUGGAACGUUAAGGGGACCGGUUAGCUCCAUUUCGGUGGGGCGAAGCUGAGAACUUAAGCGCCAGUAAACGGCGGUGGUAACUAUAACCAUCCUAAGGUAGCGAAAUUCCUUGUCGGGUAAGUUCCGACCUGCACGAAUGGCGUAACGACUUCUCGACUGUCUCAACCAUAGGCCCGGUGAAAUUGCACUACGAGUAAAGAUGCUCGUUUCGCGCAGCAGGACGGAAAGACCCCGGGACCUUUACUACAGUUUGAUAUUGGUGUUCGGUUCGGCUUGUGUAGGAUAGCUGGGAGACUGUGAAGCUCGCACGCCAGUGUGGGUGGAGUCGUCGUUGAAAUACCAGUCUGGUCGUGCUGGAUGUCUAACCUGGGUCCGUGAUCCGGAUCAGGGACAGUGUCUGAUGGGUAGUUUAACUGGGGCGGUUGCCUCCUAAAGAGUAACGGAGGCGCCCAAAGGUUCCCUCAGCCUGGUUGGCAAUCAGGUGUUGAGUGUAAGUGCACAAGGGAGCUUGACUGUGAGACCGACGGGUCGAGCAGGGACGAAAGUCGGGACUAGUGAUCCGGCGGUGGCUUGUGGAAGCGCCGUCGCUCAACGGAUAAAAGGUACCCCGGGGAUAACAGGCUGAUCUUCCCCAAGAGUCCAUAUCGACGGGAUGGUUUGGCACCUCGAUGUCGGCUCGUCGCAUCCUGGGGCUGGAGUCGGUCCCAAGGGUUGGGCUGUUCGCCCAUUAAAGCGGUACGCGAGCUGGGUUUAGAACGUCGUGAGACAGUUCGGUCCCUAUCCGCUGUGCGCGUAGGAGUCUUGAGAAGGGCUGUCCCUAGUACGAGAGGACCGGGACGGACGAACCUCUGGUGUGCCAGUUGUUCUGCCAAGGGCAUGGCUGGUUGGCUACGUUCGGGAGGGAUAACCGCUGAAAGCAUCUAAGCGGGAAGCCUGCUUCGAGAUGAGGACUCCCACCCCCUUGAGGGGUUAAGGCUCCCAGUAGACGACUGGGUUGAUAGGCCGGAUCUGGAAGCACCGUGAGGUGUGGAGGUGACCGGUACUAAUAGGCCGAGGGCUUGUCCUCAGUUG